rnacentral:rRNA from 1 species
GCAUAUCAAUAAGCGGAGGAAAAGAAACCAACAGGGAUUGCCCCAGUAACGGCGAGUGAAGCGGCAACAGCUCAAAUUUGAAAUCUGGCCCUCGGGUCCGAGUUGUAAUUUGGAGAGGAUGCUUUUGGCGCGGCGCCGUCCGAGUUCCUUGGAACAGGACGCCAUAGAGGGUGAGAGCCCCGUACGGGCGGCCGCCUAGCCUUUGUAAAGCUCCUUCGACGAGUCGAGUAGUUUGGGAAUGCUGCUCAAAAUGGGAGGUAAAUUUCUUCUAAAGCUAAAUACCGGCCAGAGACCGAUAGCGCACAAGUAGAGUGAUCGAAAGAUGAAAAGCACUUUGAAAAGAGGGUUAAAAAGUACGUGAAAUUGUUGAAAGGGAAGCGCCUGUGACCAGACUUGCGGCCCGUGGAUCAUCCGGUGUUCUUCACCGGUGCACUCCGCGGGCUGCAGGCCAGCAUCGGUUUUCCUAGGGGGAUAAAGGUCGCGGGAACGUAGCUCCCUCGGGAGUGUUAUAGCCCGUGGCGUCAUGCCUCUGGGGGGACCGAGGACCGCGCUUCGGCAAGGAUGCUGGCGUAAUGGUCACCGGCGACCCGUCUUGAAACACGGACCAAGGAGUCAAGCAUUGGGGCGAGUGUCUGGGUGCCAAACCCGCACGCGAAAUGAAAGUAAACGCAGGUGAGAGCUUCGGCGCAUCACCGACCGAUCCUGAUGUUCUCGGAUGGAUUUGAGUAAGAGCCUUACCGCUUGGACCCGAAAGAUGGUGAACUAUGCCUGUAUAGGGUGAAGCCAGAGGAAACUCUGGUGGAGGCUCGCAGCGGUUCUGACGUGCAAAUCGAUCGUCAAAUAUGGGCAUGGGGGCGAAAGACUAAUCGAACCAUCUAGUAGCUGGUUACCGCCGA